rnacentral:tRNA from 1 species
UGGGGUUUUAGCUCAGUGGUAGAACUCAUGCCUAGCAUGUAUGAGGCACUGGGUUCAAUUCCCAGCACCACAU